rnacentral:rRNA from 1 species
CCUACGGGUGGCAGCAGUGGGGGAUAUUGGACAAUGGGGGAAACCCUGAUCCAGCGACGCCGCGUGAGUGAAGAAGUAUUUCGGUAUGUAAAGCUCUGUCAGCAGGGAAGAAAGAAAUGACGGUACCUGACCAAGAAGCCCCGGCUAACUACGUGCCAGCAGCCGCGGCAAUACGUAGGGGGCAAGCGUUAUCCGGAAUUACUGGGUGUAAAGGGAGCGUAGACGGUGAUGCAAGUCUGGAGUGAAAGGCGGGGGCCCAACCCCCGGACUGCUCUGGAAACUGUGUAACUUGAGUACAGGAGAGGUAGGCGGAAUUCCUAGUGUAGCGGUGAAAUGCGUAGAUAUUAGGAGGAACACCAGUGGCGAAGGCGGCUUACUGGACUGUAACUGACGUUGAGGCUCGAAAGCGUGGGGAGCAAACAGGAUUAGAUACCCGGGUAGUC